rnacentral:lncRNA from 1 species
CCACUCCCGACCCGCCAGCCCCUCGCCAGCCCAGCCCUCGGGCUCCCCCCCCACGCUCUGCUAGUGCCCCUCACUCCUAAUCCACAACUUCUUUUUAUUUUGGAUUAAAGCAUCUGAAUAAAUUUGAUUUCACCCUUUUCAGAGGGAUCUCUGGAGGAGCGGCAUCGAUCCAUUCCUGGUAGCUAGAAAGUUCCAUGAAUUUGUCGAGAAUGCUCUGGCCGAGGAGAGAAGAAACCCUGUUACCGGCAUUAGCAACGUUAGACUGAGCGACUUUGCAAAAUGCUCUGCCGUGCAGCUCAGCCUGGAGGUGGACGGCCAAGCUGUGUCUAUAGACCUGGUGCCCACCAUCCGGAAUAAAGUGGACAUGUCCAUGGAUUGGCCACGGCAGGAUCUCCGGUGGCUCUCCGACUGGUGGGACCGGGAGCAAGACACGGAGCGGAUCAACCCCACCUGGAAUAUCAUGGACAUUUACAAAACUGGGACCGAUCUGAUGGCCAAGAAUCUGUAUUGGAGGCUCACUUUCUCCCGGGCUGAGACCCGACUCCUCAGGGACAUUGACCUCGAUGGUGCUGGGUGGAGGCGGGAGGCCCUGCAGCUGCUGAAGCAAAUCAACAUGGAGAAGUGGGGGCCGCGGUACGGCAAAGACCUGACCUCCUGCCACCUGAAGAUGGUCCUGUUUUGGGCUUCUGACCUCAACCCAGAGACAGAGCACUGGGCCACGUUGCCGGCUGCUGUGGGGACCCUGCUGAAGGUGCUGGAGUUCUGCCUGGAGAAGAGACACCUGCCCAGUUACUUCCUGCCGUCCAUUAAUUUCUUCGACUGGCACCGGACUGAGGAGGAGAAUUCCCUGAGGAACCUGGGGCUGGAGGCGCUCAGACUGGAGGUGAGGCUGAUGAGAUGCAGCCCAGAACGGUACCUGCAGCUGUGCUACGACCUGGCCAAGCCCCCAGGCCCGGGACCCUUCGUCCAACGGGCGCGGGAGCUCGACGCCUUUAGAAGGGAGCAUCGGAACGACUUGGAAGAGUUCAAACACCUGAAGGAAGGAAAACAGCCGGGACAGGGAGCUGCGAGUGUCUUCUUUGCCCAACACAGACACCUGGGCUCGUGUCUGCAGUUAAAUAUGCUACGCCAGGAUUUCUUAAACUGGGGGUCGGGACCCCUCCAGGGGCCGUGAGGUUAUUACAUGGGGGGUCGCGAGCUGUCAGCCUCCACCCCAAACCCCGCUUUGCCUCCGGCAUUUCUAAUGGUGUGAAUGUGUUUUUAAUGUAUAAGGGGGGGUCACACUCAGAGGCUUGCUGUGUGAUAGGGGUCACCAGGACAAAAGUCUGAGAGCCCCUGGUCUACGCUAACUUCACUUGGCUUUGGAUUUAUCCCGGGGGAACAGAGUCUGCUUAAAAACCAUGAGCCUUGAUUUAAAACACAAUGUUUUUAAACAAUAAUAAAGGCUGGGUUCUGUUCA